UGGGGAUGGCCCCGCGGUGCAUUAGCUAGUUGGCAAGGUAAAGGCUUACCAAGGGGCGAUGAUGCAUAGCCCGAGUUGAGAGACUGAUCGGGCCACAUUGGGGACUGAGACACGGCCCAAACUCCUACGGGAGGCAGCAGUAGGGAAUCUUCCACAAUGGACGCAAGUCUGAUGGAGCAAAUGCCGCGUGAGUGAAGAAGGUUUUCGGAUCGUAAAAAGCUCUGUUGUUGGUGAAGAAGGAUAGAGGUAGUAACUGGCCCUUUAUUUGACGGUAAUCAACCCAGAAAGUCACGGGCUAACUACGUGCCCAGCAGCCGCGGUAAAU
rnacentral:rRNA from 1 species